ensembl:lncRNA
AGCACAUCCAGUGUUAUAUUUCCAGCUACUGAAAGGAUGAUCAGAGCUCCUAAAUUAACUGUCCAGUGUGAAUUUUUUUAUGAUUAGUUAUUCCAAGUUGUCUUCUGGGGAAUAUUUUCCGAGCCUUCUUUCAAAAUUUGCUGCUCAGAUUGCUCUGCAGCAGGCUUGUUAGCUGGAGUGCUCAUGGAGAGCUGCUCCCAGAGCAAUGUGCAUCCAUAUGCUGAGGAUAUGAAAUAAUAUUCCUAACUCCUUUUUAGCAGUAUUCCCCAGAUCUACUGAAUGGUUCCAGAAGGGCUGGAACAGCAGAGAGCUGAGAUAAGAGCCCUACCCCUUCCUUGGUGCCGUGAGCAUGAGAUGAAGGAUGAAGAGGAACUCAAGAUGCUGUCAAGAUUUCCCUUUGUACAUAUCUGAUCAGUUCAUGCCAGGUUUGGCUCCGUGCCCUUCCAGGGGAGAGCCUCCACCAGCAGGACAAGGUGGUUCAGCCCUCGGCGCAGCAAUGGAGACAGGAUUAGAAGCUGGGCUGGGGAUGGCUCCCACUCCGCAAGGCAUGGGAUCUGUGAGAAAUACCUUGGGAAGACAUUGCCUUUUUCUGGAGAGGAGUAAGCAGCUGCCUCUCAGCUGGACUUCUCGUCCCCAUUGCUGGGAUUACCAGGAUAGCAGCAAGACACAUGGAGGUCUCCCAGGGAGGCAGGAGACCACCUGGCUGAGGGACUUUGCUGUGCUCAGAGCCCGGGGCACCAGCACCUCCGUGGGAGAGUGCAGGGGGGGCGGCCUGACAUGGGGCAAAGGUGGGACACCUCUCUCUGGGACACCUCUCUCUGGGACACCGCUCUCUGUGACACCUCUCUCUGGGCAGUCUUUACUGCUCCCACCCUGGACUGCAGUGACAUGGGCCACUGUAAAGCUGCCACCAUGGAGGGGCUGGCGUAGAGGAGUUUUUCUGCUGGAUCUGGGCAGUGUUUCUCAUGGUUUGUUAUCCUUGACAUAGCAGAGUCCUUCAAAGGUAACUCAUGCACAGUACUGCAUGAGCUCCUGGGGAGAACUGCUUCCCUCACUCAAUUAAAAAAAAAAGGUUGAUUUAAACACUGAAAUGCAAGGGAUUGUAUUCCUUGCAAAGCUCUUACAAUGGGUAUCUGCUGUUAAACCUCAAUUCUUGUCCCACUAGGUCUUGCAACAGAGAGCUCUCUGAAGGGAUUGUAUGCAUUUCUUGUUCAAAAUCUCCUGUGAGAAGAAUUAUGUUAUUUGACUCUCAGACCCCCUAAAAAUGAUGGCAGCUGUCCCCUGCAAUUCCAUCUCCCUUCACAGACUAGCACUGCUCACUGGCUGCCCCAGAGACAAGUGAAAUGGAAGUCUAUAAAAAGAGAGUGGCAUAUUCCCAGGUUAAGUGCUAUGUUAACUGCAAUCAUCCCUACGAUUAAGUGGCUCCCUAAAAGGAAUUUUUUUUCCCCCAUAUGUUUUUUUAAGGAGUGAUGAAUCUCUUCACACAGUGUGUUUCUCAUCAGAUAUGGAGAUUAACUUAAGCACAGAACUGAGUGAAGCAAACCCAUCAGCUGUCUGAGGCUUUCUACUCUGAUUUUGCUGCAUGCCUCAUCCUCAGGGAGGGGAAGAUGCCUGUCCCACCUCACUCAAGGUUUGUUUUUUGGGAGAAGGCACCAGCUAUGGAGGGGUUAAUACCAGCAGGGCCUGUCUCACCUCCCCUCUCUGCUGUGAUUUCCCAUUUUCUCCUCCUGAGCUCUUCCCCAGGGCUGAUGGGAGGUGCAGGGUGGGGGACAGAGAGGAGCUGCCCGCUCUGGGUGCUGCCAGCCAAGGGUGCCCAGCCCUGGAGCACUGCUGGCUGGGCAGCUGAGGGGCAGCAGGGCUCCUCAACAGCUUCAGGUUUAAUUCACUGAGAGGAGCUCCCAGGAGGAAAGGAAGGAAGUGGAGUCCUGUGAGGGAAACAUAGAGUGUCAGGGAAAGCUGUAUGCCCCUGCCAAAAAGGAGCCAAAACU